AAAGGUUCAUGAGAUCUAAAAAGUCACAAAAAUGUCUCAAAGGAAAUUUUCACAAGCAUUAACAAAUGCAAAAGUUACACUAAUACUAGACUGAUACUAGUUCAUUCCCUGCCCAAGAAUCAAACCUAGGCUGCAGAAUUGAAAGCUAAAAAUUUUAACCAUUAGAUUAUGAGGUAAACUUCUCCUCUGCCAUUCUUCCCAGAGGAGCAGUGUUCAAAGCAUUUUUAUGUGUAUUUUGGACCACAUACUUGCAUUUCCAUUUUGCAAAGAGAAUUUUUAAGGCUAGCAGAAUUGUUACAUGUUCCUUUAGUUCUAAUAUUCUUAUAAAUACAAGUAAGACAAUUGUUUAGAAUAAAGGAUCUUUAUAAUGAAGUUUUAAAUUUGGGAUUCUUUAACUUAAUGGGUCCGUUUUUGCCAUUAAUUUUUAAUGAUGUACUUAAUUUAAAGUACAUAUCAAAGCCAAAAGGCCUUCCAAAAAUUUCAAGAGUGUUCUUCUAGACAGACUCUAUAUUCUUUGUCCAACUAAGGAGAAGUCUCUCUAAAACAAGACUUUGUCUAUAAUAUGGGAAAAGCAAAUCAAGACUCAUGAAGGAGGCAAAAUACCUCCAGAGAGGCUAAACACUCUGGAGAGAGAAGAGGAGUUCUGUGCAUGCUUUGAAUAAUCACUAGGAUGUACCCAAGUUCCAGAAACUGUUUCUAUACUGUAAACAUGUCCAUGCAUCAUGGAUUGGCAAUGUCCCACCUAUACGGACAGGGUCAGGGAUGGCAGUCAAAGAAAACUGAGCAGACACUAGAAAAUGUCUCUAAGUCUGCUCCACUGGUAAGAGGCUGCUGAUCAAUGGGCAUAUGCCUAUUAGGGCAAUCUUAGAUGAAGCCCCAAAUUGUACCCACCCAACCAGGUUCAUUUGCCUGCUGCCCAAGAGCAAGCCAAUAUGCUGAGACAUCAGGAUUUGCAGCAGAGAAAGAGUUUAAUCCACAUAGUGCUAAGUAGAGAGACAGGAGAAAUAUCUCAAAUCUAUUUCCUCAAAAAUUUUGUAGAAGACUGAGCGCUAAGAAGGGGUCAUAGCCAGGUCAGCCUUAAUGAGUGGAAGCCUUUGUUGCUCAGCACAUGCACAAUCUCCAGUCCUGUCACUGCAGACACUUUGUUUAUUAGCCCAUUGAGAAAUGUGGGGAAAGAGGCUAAGUAGUAUUCUCAGAACUGAUUAUUCUCUCCACUGAUUAUAAAAGCCCUAUUCUGCUGAGAUAAGAUUCUGAUGCACAUUCAGAACUAAAGUAUAAUGUAGGCUGGGGAGUUUGUAUACCUCUGAGGUAAGACAAUGAAGUUGUACUUCUGGUUUUGCCACUGACAGCUAACUCCUGGUGGAUCUUGUGGACAGGGAUGGAGAAAAAGGCAUUUGACAGGACAAUAGCAGCAUAUUAGGCACAAGGAGAUGUGUUUAUUUGCUCAAGCAGUGAAACCACAUCUGGAACAGCAUCUGGGAUUGAAGUCAGCACUUGGUUCAAAUAAUGGCAGUGCACUGCAUUGUAAUUCUCCAGGCUCUCUCUGUCUUUUGCAUAGACCAGAGAGAAGAGUUGACUGGGGACAUGUUGGGAAUUACCACUACCACAACUGCAUCUUUCCAGCCCUUGAUAGUGUAAAUACUCUCUGCUCUACCUGUAUGGAGGCAGUUUUGUUUUUAUUUGCUAAUUUCCUAUGUAGGACAGCUCUAAUGACUUCCAUUUGAACUUUCUACCAUUAUUGCCCUCUCUCCACAGAUUGGGAACCAAUGUGGGAAUUCUGCCAGCUUCUAUAUCUAUUUCACCUGUACAUUCUAGAACUGAGGAAUUGAACACAGCAUGGAUUCAGGGUUCUAGUAAAGUGACUUCUUCAUUAGGUGAAAAAGGCAAAUCUCAAUUCCUCUCUACGCUCAAGAGAAGAAAAGGAGAAUACAAAGUUGUGUGCAUGAGGACGUGGGGAUCAUUGGCUGCCAUCAUAGGGCUACUGACAAUUCCUCCAUUGUCCCCACACCUACAGGAUAAAAAGGUUUGGAAUAAUUGACCAGUGAAGCCAUCACAACCUAAGCAGCACAUGACUCCUAGAAACAAUCACAGAAGUUUGAAAGCAGGACCUUCUCACCCAAGAUUUCAGUUGAGUUCUCAGUUAUGGAGGUUGAGAAGUCUGAGAUAGAGAGGACACAUCUGCUGAGAGCCUUCUUGUUCAUGGUGAUUUUCCACAGACUCCUGAGGCAGAGCAGAGCAUCACAUGGUGAGGUUUGGGAUAAUUAAGCAAUGAAGUCUUCUUGACAUGGGCAGCAAUUGACUCCUAGCAACAAUCACAUAUGAUUAGAAGAGGAUCCUUUACCUGCUGAGCCUUCAGGGUGCCUGCCGGAGCCCAUUUCUGCAGCCACUUCCAAGUUCCAGUCAUGUUUUGAAGCCAUUCUUCGGUGCUAAAGAGGGUCAGUAGGAGUUGCCAGCAAUCUUCCCACGUACGAUGGCCUAUCCUUAGGAGGUCAAGCUCCUCUUCCAUCUCGCUGAUGGGCCUAUCUCGGGCGGGUCCUGGGACCCUACCUUGUCCAACGUCCUGACUCUGACUGGUCCUUCCUUCCGGAGUGUCCGGGGGUAUGAGGACCUGAAAGUGGCCAGGUGGCAGUCUGAACUUUCAGCAUGAAUGCGUGUGCGGAGAAUGCUCUGUGGCUAGCUUGUGCUGUGGCACAGACUUUGGAAAUUGGAAGAAAAGACAAGUGGCUGCAGGCAGACUUGGAGAAGCAACUCUGGAUACUGCCUCAGAACCCUGUGGACAUGGUUCUCCUCCAGACUACACCCAGCAAAGUUGGAGCCACAGGUGGUGUUAUAUCUUAGAAAUCAUUGUUUAACCUAAAGCCAUGAAGAUGUACUGCUAUCUUCUCUUCUAUGGGUUUGGAUAAUUUAGCUCUUAUAUUUGAGUAUAUAAUCAUUGAGUUAAUUAUGUGUAUAAUGUGAGAAAGGAGUUCAACUUGCUUGUAGAUAUCUACUUAUUCUAGCACCAUUUGAUGAGAAAAUAGUUUUGCAUAUUGAAUUGACUUCUCAACCUUGUAAAAUCAUUUGACCAUGAAAAGAAAGAUUAACUUUUAGACAUUCAAUUUAUUCUGUCCCUUUGAUCUGUAUGUCUAUCUUUAUGCUAGUUCUACAAAUCUUGAUUGUGAUAACUUAGUAGUAACUUUUGAAAUUAGAAUGUAUGAGUCUACUUGGUGAACUUUGUUUUCUUCAAAAAUAUUUGGCUGUAUAUCAUAUGUGAAUUUUAGAAUAAGCUUGCUAAGUUAGGGAAAAAAAUGUCACCUUAGAUUUCUUGUGGUUUUCAUUACAUCUGCAUACCUAUUUGGAAAGUAUUGCACAUUUAAAAAUAUUAAGCCUUGCAUUUGUUUUUCUAGACAAUUUACUGUGUCUGCAUUCCCCAGGAAAGAAUUUAAUACAGCUGGCAAGAGUGGACAUCCUUUGUCUUGUUUCCUAAUCUUAGAAAAAAUAUUCAGCCUUUCUAAUAACUUAUGAUUGUAUUUGAGUUUUUGAAGGAUGUCCUUUAAAAGUAUAGAAGGUUCCCUAUAGUCUUAAGUUGCUGCAUGUUUUUCACGUGAAUAGGUUUUGGAUUGGUCAAGUGCUUUUUCCACAUCUUUUGAGAUGAUCAUAUUUUUUUGUUUAUUUUAUUAAUAUAGGAAUUGAUACUAAUUUUUUCAUGUUGAAUCAAAAUUGCAUUCUUGAGAUACAUACCCUUAGUUAUAGUUUAUAAUCCUUUAUAAAUUUGCUGAUUUUUUACUAGUAUUUCCUUGAAGAUUUUUCUUCUAUAUCUAUAAAAUACAUUAGUCUUAAUUUUCCUUUCUUGAAAUGCCUUGGUCUAGUUGUCAUAUCAAGAUAUAUUAACCAUAGUAUACACUG